rnacentral:rRNA from 1 species
UACGUAGGGGGCAAGCGUUAUCCGGAUUUAUUGGGUGUAAAGGGUGCGUAGGCGGGUGUCUAAGUUGAAUGUGAAAUCCACCGGCUCAACUGGUGGGCUGCGUUCAAAACUGGACAUCUUGAGUAUGGUAGAGGCAAGUGGAAUUCCCAGUGUAGCGGUAAAAUGCGUAGAGAUUGGGAGGAACACCAGUGGCGAAGGCGACUUGCUGGGCCAAAACUGACGCUGAGGCACGAAAGUGUGGGGAGCAAACAGG